AUUGAACGCUGGCGGCAGGCCUAACACAUGCAAGUCGAACGAGUGGCGGACGGGUGAGUAAUGUCUGGGACACUGCCUGAUGGAGGGGGAUACCUACUGGAAACGGUAGCUAAUACCGCAUACCAUCGGAUGUGCCCAGAUGGGAGUAGCUAGUAGGUGGGGUAAAGGCUCACCUAGGCGACGAUCCCUAGCUGGUUUGAGACGAUGACCAGCCAAACUGGAAAUGAGACAGUGUCCAGACUCCUACGGGAGGCAGCAGGGGGGAACAUUGCACAAGGGGCGCAAGCCUGAUGCAGCCAUGCCGCGUGUAUGAAGAAGGCCUUCGGGUUGUAAAGUACUUUCAGCGGGGAGGCGUUACCCGCAGAAGAAGCACCGGCUAACUCCGUGCCAGCAGCCGCGGUAAUUC
rnacentral:rRNA from 1 species